rnacentral:rRNA from 1 species
UUUACAAUGGAGAGUUUGAUCCUGGCUCAGGAUGAACGCUAGCGGCAGGCUUAAUACAUGCAAGUCGAGGGGCAGCACGGGAGCAAUCCUGGUGGCGACCGGCAAACGGGUGCGGAACACGUACGCAACCUUCCCAUAACUGGUGAAUAGCCUUUCGAAAGAGAGAUUAAUACACCGUAACAUAACGAAGAGGCAUCUCUUUGUUAUUAUAGCCGCAAGGCGGUUUUGGAUGGGCGUGCGCCUGAUUAGGUAGUUGGCGGGGUAACGGCCCACCAAGCCUGCGAUCAGUAACUGGUG